GUGCCAGCAGCCGCGGUAAUACCGGCAGCACAAGUGAUGGCCAAUCUUAUUGGGCCUAAAGCGUCCGUAGCUGGCCGAGCAGGUCCGUCGGGAAAUCCACGUGCUCAACGCGUGGGCGUCCGGCGGAAACUGCGUGGCUUGGGACCGGAAGGCGCGACGGGUACGUCCGGGGUAGGAGUGAAAUCCCGUAAUCCUGGACGGACCGCCGAUGGCGAAAGCACGUCGCGAAGACGGAUCCGACAGUGAGGGACGAAGGCUAGGGUCUCGAACCGGAUUAGAAACCCGGUAGUCC
rnacentral:rRNA from 1 species